GCCAGCAGCGAUAUCACCCUGCAACUCACAGCUGGCCAACCAAUUGAAGCUCACCAGGUGUGAGCCUGGUCAGUACCUGGAUGGGAGACCUCCUGGGAAAAACUAAGGUUGCUGCCGAAA
rnacentral:rRNA from 1 species